GAUGAACGCUGGCGGCGUGCCUAAUACAUGCAAGUCGAGCGAACAGACGAGGAGCUUGCUCCUCUGACGUUAGCGGCGGACGGGUGAGUAACACGUGGAUAACCUACCUAUAAGACUGGGAUAACUUCGGGAAACCGGAGCUAAUACCGGAUAAUAUAUUGAACCGCAUGGUUCAAUAGUGAAAGACGGUUUUGCUGUCACUUAUAGAUGGAUCCGCGCCGCAUUAGCUAGUUGGUAAGGUAACGGCUUACCAAGGCAACGAUGCGUAGCCGACCUGAGAGGUGGACCGGCCACACUGGAACGGGGACACGGCCCAGACCCCAACGGGAGGAGGCGUAGGGAAAUCUUCCGAAAUGGGCGAAGGCCGAACGGAGCAACGCGGGUGAGGUGAGGAGGGUCUCCGGUUCUAAAAACCCUUUAUUAGGGAAGAACAAAUGUGUAAGUAACUAUGCACGUCUUGACGGUACCUAAUCAGAAAGCCACGGCUAACUACGUG
rnacentral:rRNA from 1 species